rnacentral:rRNA from 1 species
AACGAACGUUGGCGGUGUGGAUUAGGCAUGCAAGUCGAACGAAUGCUGGCUUUGUAGCAAUACCGAGCCAGAGGAAGUGGCGAAAGGGGCAGUAAUGCGUGGAUAACCUACCUUGGGGUUGGGCAUAGCCGUCCUAACGGACGGGUAAUUCCCAGAGAUUCAGCGGGGCGGCAUCGUUCUGCUGGGAAAGAAUUUCGCCUCGAGAGGGGUCCACGUGCUAUUAGCUAGUUGGUGAGGUAACGGCUCACCAAGGCUAAGAUGGCUAGCGGGUGUGAGAGCACGACCCGCGCCACUGGCACUGAGACACUGGCCAGACACCUACGGGUGGCAG